rnacentral:rRNA from 1 species
GCGCAGCUACCAUGCAGUCGAGCGAGACCUUCGGGUCUAGCGGCGGACGGGUUAGUAACGCGUGGGAACGUGCCCUUCUCUGCGGAAUAGCCACUGGAAACGGUGAGUAAUACCGCAUACGCCCUUCGGGGGAAAGAUUUAUCGGAGAAGGAUCGGCCCGCGUUAGAUUAGAUAGUUGGUGGGGUAACGGCCUACCAAGUCUACGAUCUAUAGCUGGUUUUAGAGGAUGAUCAGCAACACUGGGACUGAGACACGGCCCAGACUCCUACGGGAGGCAGCAGUGGGGAAUCUUAGACAAUGGGCGCAAGCCUGAUCUAGCCAUGCCGCGUGUGUGAUGAAGGUCUUAGGAUCGUAAAGCACUUUCGCCAGGGAUGAUAAUGACAGUACCUGGUAAAGAAACCCCGGCUAACUCCGUGCCAGCAGCCGCGGUAA